UUGCAAAUUUGUAAUUUUAAUCUAUAAAAUUAUAUAAGAGUAUGGAGAUGGGGUAAAAUUUCAAGUGGACAAAAGGGACAGUUGAAUUUAAUGUAUGGAUAAAAAGGAACUAAUUUUAAUUCUAAUAUUCCUAAAUCAAGAUGAAUUCCUCUUUGAAAUAAAUAUCUAUUGAUCCCUUUAAACAUAAAAUCCAAAAUCUGCUACUACUGCUAAUUUAAUUAUGGCAUACAUAUAUAUUCAUCAAAGUUUGUUUCCAUACAUUAUUGAUGCGGAUUUGGUGUCUAAUAAAGCUGAAUUGUGAAAAAGAAUCCAUAUAGCCGA
rnacentral:misc_RNA from 1 species